GGAAACGUUAAUGCUCAGUGGUUCAGAUGUCGGACUACUGAUCGGAAGGUCAUGAGUUCAAAUCCCAGCAUUCCCC